GCGGGCGAGGAGGCGGGCAGCACCCCCUCCUUCGCCUCCACCUUUAAAUGUGUUCCCCCCCCCGGCAGGGGAAACCGGCUCCGAGGGUCCUCGGCGCCCGGGCCGGGCCCCUCUCCGCCUUCCUGCCAGCGAGGGGCGGGCUCCGCUGGGUUCGCGGAGCUUUUGGCACAAAGGCGACCGCCAGCCGCGGAGUAGGAGCCGACCCCUUACUCGUGACCUGAGGAAAGGAAAGUGAACCUCGCACUGUGGGGUUUCCCUUUUAUUACAGGUUCCUUUGGAGGCUUAGUUCACGGAAUUUCUCUGUGGGAUGGGAAAGUAGCCACCUAAGUAAGAGCAGAUCGGAGAGGGAUGCGAUGAAGUGGCUCGUUUGAGGGGGAAGGGAAGGUGGGGGUCACAGGCUUUAGCCACAGACGUGCUCCGGCAAAGAGUCCUUGAGGACAGCGUAUGGCUGGGUCUUGCCUCCUCUGCUUGCUGUGAACUCUCCUUUUUCCAUAACCGACACUUCAGGCAGCAGGUGGUGGGACAGAAGACACAACAUCGUGCCCAGAAAAUGAAGCAAGCACAUCGGAUGAGGAAUGCAAAAGAGGGCGCAAACGUUUUCUAUUCAGCCUUCAGGACUGGUGCGUUCAGCAAAAUAGCUAGGUGCAUCAUACAAAGCAUUUUCUGUCCCUCACCUGCAUUUCCUCUUGGGCCUGUUUGUUUAAACCACACACCCAGCCCUUCACUUAAUUUCGUUUUUUUACUUCUGGUUCAUCAACUUCUAAGUCUGCCAGUUACCACAAGGCGGACCGGGCUUACAGUUUUCACUGUAAACUUCUGCCACUUUGAAGAGCUUUCUGCCUGUCAGUCAUGCUAAAGAUGAUGAAUGGUCACAGCCUGGCCAGACAGGUGUUUAAAAUGCCACUGCCCAGCGCUUUUGAAAGUAAACACAGCUUCACUACCCCCAGUUGCCACCUUGUGGCACCUGAUAAACAAGCGCUCUUCAGUUUCAUAGCUUCUUGGGAGACGUGUCCUGAUGACCCACAUUCUGAAAAACAUCUUUGGCAUUUCAGACUACAAAAGCGAAUGGAGCACGUGUGGGACAGCUGUUGAUUUGAGGAGCAGCUUGGGCAGGACUGAAGCAGGAACUGGGGAGUAAGCAAAGAGCUGCUGGCAGAGCAGAUGAAACUUCAUUGUUAUUAUUAAGGAAGAGACUAUUAAGAGAAGAAAUCAGAGAUCCUGUGGUAGAGAAGUGAAACUCUCUCUUCUUGUUAGAAGACCAAUACAGAGCAAUACAUUGGAGUUUUUUAAAUGUCUUUCAAAUUUUAUAAAUAAAAUGUUCACACAUCGUCUCUUCCAUCUGUUUUAGUUAUCUAAAGUAUCACUAAGAUGUUUUU